rnacentral:lncRNA from 1 species
AAAAAGAUUGGGAGAGAGACAAAGAGAGAGAUAAAGACAGAGAGAGUGUGUGAGAGAGAGUGAUGUUGACUGCAGUGCAGUCGCUGUCCUGCCUGUGCUGUGUGAAGGAGAAGCUAUAAUCCGGUGGCCUGUGAGCCUCUACCGCCCCACACAGCAGGAGAUUAAAGAUGCUGGCUGUGAUAAGGAACCACUAAGGAGACACAGCACCGCGGGUCACGACCUCUGAGGGUACCAUGCCACAAGGCCAAUGGGCCCUGGUGUUCCCCAUCCACCCACCCCACCUCAGCUCUCUGACUCAGGGGCUACAAGGCCUCCUGCUCCUGAGAGGAGAUGAAUACACUCAAUCAAACCAGUGCUCUCUGUCCUGGCCCUGUAUCAACCCGCUGAAGAAUGGCAGCAAAUCAGUAGUUUGAUUAUGUAAAGUAAAACCACAGGAGGGGCAUACAUGGUGUGAUCAAGCCUUACAUCGAAGUUGCCUGAGGCGGAAUGGAAAAUGCUAUGCCCUGACCAGUUAUUCAGAAGAAAAUCCUCUGUGACUGUCUAAUUUACCAGUGUGGACCCA